rnacentral:rRNA from 1 species
GCUAUACAUGCAAGUCGAGCGGACUGGAUCUGGAGCUUGCUCUGAUUCGGUCAGCGGCGGACGGGUGAGUAACACGUGGGCAACCUGCCCGCAAGACCGGGAUAACUCCGGGAAACCGGAGCUAAUACCGGAUAACACCGAAGACCGCAUGGUCUUUGGUUGAAAGGCGGCCUUUGGUUGUCACUUGCGAAUGGGCCCGCGCCGCAUUAGCUAGUUGGGGAGGUAACGGCUCACCAAGGCGACAAUGCGUAGCCGGCC